GGUUAAUCCCCGAUAGGUGGAGAACUCUGGAAUGAAUCUCCGCCCAAAGGGCGCUUGCGCUAUGCUCGCAGGUGUCGCCCAAGGAUGGGGCCGCGACCGAUCAGGUUGUUGGUGAGGUAAUGGCUCACCAAGCCUUUAACCGGUGCGGGCCGUGGGAGCGGGAGCCCGGAGAUGGGCACUGAGACAAGGGCCCAGGCCCUACGGGGCGCAGCAGUCGCGAAAACUUUGCAAUACACGAAAGUGUGACAGGGCUAUCCCGAGUGCCAUCCGCUGAGGAAGGCUUUUACCCAGUUUAGUACGCUGGGAGAAUAAGGAGAGGGCAAGACUGAUGUCAGCCGCCGCGGUAAUACCAGCUCUCCGAGUGGUGUGGAUGUUUAUUGG
rnacentral:rRNA from 1 species